rnacentral:lncRNA from 1 species
UUUGAUCUUUUCCAAAGCUAGAUGAUUUUGAUGAUAUUAUUAAAAAACUUGUGCUCCAUAUGAGGUUCCAAGCGCUAUUAAAGACAUGAUAUUCAUAAGUUGCCAAACACACACACGUAUCUAUGUGUAUAUGUCUUCCAUAUGUUCCUAGAAAUGAGCCUGAUCGUAUGGUCUGUUUGUAUCUGUGAUAAGUAAUGUAUAUCCUGGUGUGUGCAUAUUUCAAAUCUGGAACUGAGCCAGAACUCUGUGCUGAGCCUUAGGACACCGAAUCUGUUGAUUUUCAUGUCCGCAAAUUCAUCUGCUCCAAUGAGUGAUAUUUUUAUGUAGAUGAUAGAAAAAUUAAAAUGCUUUUGCCUCUUAUGAUUCAGAGAAGCCAAAAAAUGAAUCUGCUUCAGAUACGCUUGCUGAUGCUGUGGAUGACAAAAAGUUAAGUCAAAGUUUAUCAGAACAUUGCAGAUAACGUUAUCCCCCGAAUGUUUGUAAUUGUGUCCUCUACAUUGGAGAAACUUUCGCAAGAUAAAUUUUGGCCACAGGAGCUGUUUGUUUAAUUCUUUGCUGCACCAAUGUGGAAUUAGAGGUUACUGUGGCAAGGAGGAUAAAUAUCAUUUUGUUUGUUCACUCAUCUUGUGGGAAGUGAAAACUACACUAAUAUUUUCGUAUACCAUGGUAGCCACAGUUGCACUGUGUUUUUUCCUUUGUUUUAGGUUCAACAGAGUCGGUGGGCGUGGUAUUGUGAUAGCUUUUGUGGUUAUGAUUUGAAAAAAAUUAUUUUAUAAAAAAUAUUUUUGAUUGAGGUUGGUUUGAC